AGCGAACGCUGGCGGCAGGCCUAACACAUGCAAGUCGAACGAACCUUUCGGGGUUAGUGGCGGACGGGGGGGUAACACGUGGGAACGUGCCUUUAGGUUCGGAAUAACUCAGGGAAACUUGUGCUAAUACCGAAUGUGCCCUUCGGGGGAAAGAUUUAUCGCCUUUAGAGCGGCCGGGGUCUGAUUAGCUAGUUGGUUGAGGUAAUGGCACAUCAAGGCGACGAUCAGUAGCUGGUCUGAGAGGAUGAUCCGCCACAUUGGGACUGAGACACGGCCCAAACUCCUACGGGAGGGAGCAGUGGGGAAUCUUGCGCAAUGGGCGAAAGCCUGACGCAGCCAUGCCGCGUGAAUGAUGAAGGUCUUAGGAUUGUAAAAUUCUUUCACCGGGGACGAUAAUGACGGUACCCGGAGAAGAAGCCCCGGCUAACUUCGUG
rnacentral:rRNA from 1 species